GGGAUCAUUACCGAGUUCCAACUCUCACACCCCGAGAACGUACCCGUACGGUUGCUUCGGCGGGCGGCCCCUGGGAGGGGCCGCAGCCCGCGAGGGCGCCCGCCGCAGGCCCUACCAGACCAGUUUUACAGCGAGUCCCUCUGAGAAAACCACAAAUAGUCAAAACUUUCAACAACGGAUCUCUUGGUUCUGGCAUCGAUGAAGAACGCAGCGAAAUGCGAUAAGUAAUGUGAAUUGCAGACUUCAGUGAAUCAUCGAAUCUUUGAACGCACAUUGCGCCCGCCAGUAUUCUGGCGGGCAUGCCUGUUCGAGCGUCAUUUCAACCCUCGCGCCCGGCGCGGUGUUGGGGCCCCCACGGCCGCCGUGGGCCCCGGAAACCAGUGGCGAGCCUCCUGGACCCGCAGCGUAGUAACAUCACCUAGCUCGCGGCGCCCCGGCGGUGCCUGCCGUAAAACCGCAGCCCUGCUGCAACUCCACAGGUUGACCUCGGAUCAGGUAGGAAUACCCGCUGAACUUAAGCAUAUCAAUAAGCGGAGGAAAAGAAACCAGCAGGGAUUGCCCUAGUAACGGCGAGUGAAGCGGCAACAGCCCAAAUUUGAAAUCUGGCCUCGGCCCGAGUUGUAAUUUGCAGAGGAUGCUUCGGGUGAGGCCCCUGCCGAGUCCCCUGGAACGGGGCGCCAUAGAGGGUGAGAGCCCCGUAUGGCAGGCGGCCGAGCCUGUGUGAAGCUCCUUCGACGAGUCGAGUAGUUUGGGAAUGCCGCUCUAAGCGGGAGGUAAAUUCCUUCUAAAGCUAAAUACCGGCCAGAGACCGAUAGCGCACAAGUAGAGUGAUCGAAAGAUGAAAAGCACUUUGAAAAGAGAGUCAAAUAGCACGUGAAAUUGUUGAAAGGGAAGCGCUUGUGACCAGACUCGGGGCGGGCCGAUCAUCCGGGGUUCUCCCCGGUGCACUCGGCCCGUCGCGGGCCAGCGUCGGUUUCCGCGGGGGGACAAAAGCGGUGGGAACGUAGCUCCCUUCGGGGAGUGUUAUAGCCCGCCGCAGAAUACCU
rnacentral:rRNA from 1 species